GACGGAGGGUGCGAGCGUUAAUCGGAUUUACUGGGCGUAAAGCGUGCGUAGGCGGCUUUUUAAGUCGGAUGUGAAAUCCCUGAGCUUAACUUAGGAAUUGCAUUCGAUACUGGGAGGCUAGAGUAUGGGAGAGGAUGGUAGAAUUCCAGGUGUAGCGGUGAAAUGCGUAGAGAUCUGGAGGAAUACCGAUGGCGAAGGCAGCACACUGGCGCAAUACUGACGCUGAGGUACGAAAGCAUGGGGAGCAAACAGG
rnacentral:rRNA from 1 species